rnacentral:rRNA from 1 species
UACGUAGGGACCGAGCGUUUGUCCGGAUUUAUUGGGCGUAAAAGCGCUCGCAGGUGGCCCGAUGCGUCGUGCGUGAAAGCCCCCCGGCUCAACUGGGGAAGGUCAUUCGAUACUGUUCGGCUUGAAGAUAGGAGAGGGAAGCGGAAUUUCAGGUGUAGUGGUGAAAUGCGUAGAUAUCUGGAGGAACACCGGUGGCGAAGGCGGCAUUCUGGACUGUAACUGACACUGAGGAACGAAAAGCCAGGGGGAGCAAAACGGG